ACUUUUACACAAGAUAAUGUUUGUCACACGCGUCCGUGUGAAGAGAUCACCAAACAGGCUUUGUGUGAGCAACAAGGUUGUUUAUUUCACCUGGGUGCAGGCGGGCUGAGUCCGAAAAAGGAGUCAGCGAAGGGAGAUGGUGCGGGGGCAGUUUUACGGGAUUUGGAAAAUUACAGUCAAAGGUGUUGAGUCAAAGGGGUUGCUCUCUGGCAGGCAGGAGCAGGGGUCACAAGGUGCUCAGUGGGGGAGCUUCUGAGCCAGAAGGAUUUUCACAAGGUAACGUCAUCAGUUAAGGCAGGAACCAGCCAUUUUCACUUCUUUUGUGAUUCUUCAGUUGCUUCAGGCCAUCUGGAUGUAUAUGUGCAGGUCACAGGGGAUAUGAUGGCUUAGCUUGGUCUCAGAGGCCUGACAAUGUUUGCCUCUUGGGCUCAUUGAAAUUCCAGAGAGUCAUUUACAAGUUACUGCCUCCAGGUCCAUUCACUCCCACUAAUUAUCAUUUACUACUCCUCAAAAUUGCCACACCUCCAUCUCCCUUUCUUCUAUGAAGUAGUACGCAUCUGGAUCUCACUGGGUUACUGGGAAAUUGUUCUCAUGUGACUCCCCUGUGCUUAAGCAGGUUAAAUAAGUUUCACAUGUCUUCUUCUAUGAUCAGCUUGCUGUCAGUUUAUUUUCAGUGAACCUUUUGAAGGCAGAGGGGAAGCUUUCCCUUGGCCCCUACAGCUUGGUGCCCAGAACAGACCCAGUUUAUCCCAUUGUCCCCAUAAUUGUAAUUGUUAAUAGUGCCCUCUUUCACUCUCAAAAUGUCUCUUUUGGGAUGAAAACUUAUGUGGUCAUCCUCUCUAUAACUCUCAUCUACCUAUACCUAGUAGAGACUACAUGUAUCGGCCCAAAAUAACCUAGUAAUUGUGAAUGGCAAAAUAGGCCAACCAACACCAAAAGCUUGUAAGAGUUCAUAGUUCUGAUCAAAAGCCAAGAAAUAAUAAAAUUGAUAGGCAGGCUGGGAUUGUCAACCCCAGCCUUAUCAAGUGUUUAACCUAACUGAACAAAUGCGCUACUAGAAACUCAAUUUUCAUUUCAAUAUCCUUGAAGUAGAAAAGUAGUCUUUGAACAAAUCACUGUAUCUUAGAGGCAUGUGUUUAAAAUACUGGCCUAGCUACCAAGAACUUUUAAAGAUUGACAUUUCCAUGAUGUGCCUGACAAUUUAAUCGACCUUAUAAAGUGCUUCUCAGGCUUCCUGGGACAAUGUUUCCCAAAGUGUACUAUGCAGAUCCGUUCUUCAGAACCGGGGCUUGUUAAAAUCCCAAGAUUUAAAAACAACAAAUGAAAACAAAUGGAAAUUAACAACAAAAACAAAGUUUCAUCCCCAAACCAGACCAACGAAAUUGGGUUCAGAAGGUAGAACCUCUGGUAUUACAUUUUUAUUAACUCCCUAAUGAUUAUGCUCCUCCUACAUUUUGAGAACCAUUGCCCCACUGGGUUCUAAAAGCUGCAAGAUUCCAUAAGAUACCUUAGUUCUUGACCAGCUGCAAUGUAGAUGUCGGAACAUUUCUCAUGGUCUACGCCCAGAGGUAUGCUGAUGAAUGUUUAUCAAAUUAUUCUCCAGGGGAAAAAAUCUUUUAAACUGCUAAAGUUUGUGUAGCACACACUUUACAAGUAACAAUAAAAUAUGCAAUACUCUUUAUUGUAAAUUCCAAAAAGCCAAUUGAUUCUCAGAGAAGUUUUUUUUUUUUUUGAGGCGGAGUCUCGCUCUUUCGCCCAGGCUGGAGUGCAGUGGCGCUAUCUCGGCUCACUGCAAGCUCCGCCUCCCGGGUUCACGCCAUUCUCCUGCCUCAGCCUCCCCGAGUAGCUGGGACUACAGGUGCCCGCCACCGCGUCCGGCUAAUUUUUUGCAUUUUUAGUAGAG
rnacentral:lncRNA from 1 species